rnacentral:lncRNA from 1 species
AAGCACAGUCUCUUAAACUCGCGGGUCUUGAUCAGAGAAAAAUUUGUCUUGGCUUCAUCAUUCUUUUCUUGCCAUCUAGUUUCUUUUUCAGCCCCAGCCUGCCUUCCAGAAAUACCCGGUUCAUGUAGGCCGAGGGCCGGCCUCCUACUACAGAUUGGCGCCAUGAAUGGGAACCUGGGAACGGCGGGAAACACUGAGGGAUCGCUGUCUUGUGUGGAGCUCCAUGAGAAGGAAAGAAUAAGAAGAUCGUAUUGGGCACAGUGAGCAACAGAUAAAUGUAGCUGCCACCACUCAUCAAAGAAGCCUCUUUUCAGCAAAUGGAGACCAUUACAGAAAACCCCAACUGGACAUAAUGCAGAGAUCGACAGAUCACGUGGAGCCCCGAUGGAUACAUCUACAUUACAGUGUCUGUGUCUAUGAGUUUGGGAUCAUCAUGAAGAGGGAGUGGAAUGAGUGUCAGAGCCAAAAUACAAGGAAGCCUUCAGUCUCUAAUAGAAAUAGCUGCACAGACAAGACUAAAACAGUGGUAUCAUCCAUGGGUGUGUUAACUGGAAGAGGAGAAUUUCAAAGGUUACUACCUCUAGACAAAGAGCCACAGGCAGCUGAUCACUGCUGGAAGAAGGAGAUUGACCUCUCCCUGGCAUGAGCUCCCUGAUUGGUUGUCCAAUGCUGAAUGGUGUCCUUGAACCAUUUGCAUACCACCAAUGAAAACAGACUCAGAAAGUCAGUUUUCAAUAUAUUUGUGAACACACACAGUACACACAUGUGAAUGUAUGUAGCAAUAGUUAUUAAAGAGAAAGUGGCUGUUGAGAGUUGGGGGAAUGGGGGUGGUCUGAAGGAGGUUAUCUGGGAGGGUAUAAUUUUAAUUAAAAAGAUACUUUUAAAAAAUUAAAGGAGAAUAUGUAUAGUAAUUACCAAAUAUGCAUGCUCAAGUAAAGUCCUAUUAACACUAAA